ensembl:lncRNA
UGCUUUUGACUUUUAUUUAAACUUUUUCUUUCCUGUAUGUCAUGAGACCCUUUCCUUUAUCCAUCAGUAGAGAGCUCUCUCUUCUUAACAGUUACACAUUAAUGUAUGUAACUAACAUCUUAUACCUGGACAUACACAUUGUCUCUAAUUUUUAUGGAUUUUCACAUACUCUUCUAUUGUUAUCCAGGAUAAAUUUCAAGAGAUUAAGUAGUUGGUUUUGGUAUAAAUUAUUAUGCUACCUUCAAAAGUGUAAAAGGUUAAUCACACUGAAAUAAUUUAUUGAUCAUUUCAUCACUAUUGUAUUAUUUGCUCCAUUUCAAAUCACUUGGACCCUAUUUUCUUUAUCUCUAGCAUAGGAUUGAUGAUGGUAAUAGUUUUUUCUUAUCUUAGUGAACUGAGAUUUUAAAAUAGUAAUAAUAUAUAAGGACUUUAUAAUCAUAGAGCACUGUGCCCAUUUUAGCAAUCAUAGAAGGCAUAUGAUGGAAAUUAAUUGAAUAUCUGCAGUUCUUCUUUAAAGAAAACUGUGUAGAAGUUCAGUUAAAAUAUUUUUUAGAAUACAAAAAUCUCUUAAACUCAAACUUCCAAGUUGAUUUUCAUUCCAUGUUUUUAUUAUUAUAAAAUAUUUAGUGUAUAAUAGCUGAGUAGGCAGGUUGCUGCCUAAGGGCUCAGUGUUGGUAAACUAGUAGUUGCUUAGGGCUGCGCGUCUCAAAAUGCAUGGCCUUCCCAUUUUGCUGUAGGUUUAACUGGUGGUGGUGGUUGUUUAGUCUUGGUUUCCCCGCUAAAUUCAUAUGUGGUGGUGGUAAUUUAGUAGCUAAGUCAUGUCCGACUCUUGUGAUCCCACGGACUAUAGCCCUCCAGGCUCCUCUGUCCAUGGGAUUUCCCAGGCGGGAAUGCAGGAGUGGGUUGCCAUUUCCUUCUCCAAGGGAGCUUCCUAAUUCUGGUAUGGCUGCAUAAGGAAGUAAUUAAAUGAGGUGAUAAGGGUGGAACCUUAAUUCAAUCAGAUUUGCCUGUCUGACGUGACCCCAUGGACGAAUACUGGAGUGGGUAGCCUUUCCCUUCUCCAGGGGAUCUUCCCAACCCAGGGAU